rnacentral:piRNA from 1 species
UCCCUGCUCGGAAGCAUCUCUGG